UCCGUCGUUUUCUUUUUUCUCUCUACCGGUGACUGAGAUUUCUCGAUUUCAUAGUACACUCCUUCAUCUUCUUCUUCCAAAAUUUUGUUUUCUUCUUCUGGAUCCUCUUGUUUUAGUCGAUACCAUCUUCUUCCUAUUUCCUCUUCACUCGUUUCUCCGUGAAUCUGAGAUAGCCACCGUGAAUCCGAGAAAUCCACCGUGAAUCCGAGGAAUCCGCGGUAGUAAUUACAAUGGCUUAUACUGAAGAAAAGGCGAAGAAGGAAAGGAAGAAGGAGAAGGAGAAGGAGCAAGAGAAGAGUUUGGCUCUUAUUUUGGUCUCUGAUGAUGAAUAUCGCUUGUUUUCUUGUGUGUGAUGUUGAUGUAUAAAUCUGUGUUUAGGUACAACUGGUACGAUUAGGUACAACUAUGUUUCUGGGUUUAUAUAUUUUGAUUAGGUAUGAAACUGUGUUUAGGUACAACUGGUACGAUUAGGUACAACUAUGUUUCUGGGUUUAUGUAUUUUGAUUAGGUAUGAAUCUUUGUAUCUGAAUCUAAUUAUCUAAAAUUUGCCCAAAAAAAAAAUCUAAUUAUCUAA